AUUGAACGCUGGCGGCAGGCCUAACACAUGCAAGUCGAGCGGAUGAGGGAAGCUUGCUUCCCGAUUUAGCGGCGGACGGGUGAGUAAUGCCUAGGAAUCUGCCUAUUAGUGGGGGAUAACGUUCGGAAACGGACGCUAAUACCGCAUACGUCCUACGGGAGAAAGUGGGGGAUCUUCGGACCUCACGCUAAUAGAUGAGCCUAGGUCGGAUUAGCUAGUUGGUGGGGUAAUGGCUCACCAAGGCGACGAUCCGUAGCUGGUCUGAGAGGAUGAUCAGUCACACCGGAACUGAGACACGGUCCGGACUCCUACGGGAGGCAGCAGUGGGGAAUAUUGGACAAUGGGGGCAACCCUGAUCCAGCCAUGCCGCGUGUGUGAAGAAGGCCUUCGGGUUGUAAAGCACUUUAGGUCGGGAGGAAGGUUCGCUGGCUAAUAUCCAGCGGAAUUGACGUUACCGACAGAAUAAGCACCGGCUAACUCCGUGCCAGCCGCCGCCGUAACAC
rnacentral:rRNA from 1 species